UAGGGUCAAACUGUAUGCAGGCCAAAUAGUCUUCACGCCUAUCGCCAAAUGUUUUUGGGAGCGGGCAGAACAAGUUUACGUCACUCCACAGAGGCAAAAGGGAAAAUGUCGGAGUUUAAUUCAAUAAGAGAAAAGCUGAAGAGUUGAAAAUAAGAGGGCCAGAAAAGUCAUGUUUGGGAAAGAUUUGGUGAAGUGGUAGCUCUGUCAGCUCUGGGAUUCGAUCCAGCAAACUUUCGGAUACUGGCCCACUCGGCUACCUGCCGCCGAGAGAGCCUAUAUGCUGAAGCCAUCUUGUGGCGCAUUUCAUUGUACACAUGCGCAAAGCGACUUUUUAAUGUGCGGUGUAGAUAGCCUAUUACAGUAGCAUACUUGUAAACAGUUAGGCCUACUUGAAAGAGCGCGGUGCUGCUGCAGGUGCAAGUGAAGUUGUGACUCAUUGGCGGGUCUGGCAUCCGCCUAGGCAAGAAGCACGGUCGAGGUGACGACACUAAUGAUCUUCAUCAUGAUGUUAACAAGAUGGUAUUAAGAUGGACCAUCUUGAACUUGAGAAAAGUAAGUCAACCAACAUCUGAUGAAUGGUCGGACCAGUCUACCGAGGAAGAGGAUGGAGUUGGUCUUGGUGUCCUUCACAAGGAAAAUGAAGGGGUGGUCAGCGUAGAACAACUUAGGGUUUUUCAGUUUAUCGGUGCCAAAGAUGCUGGUAUUGAUGGGGUUCCCAUCAGUGUCCCACUCCAUGGCAGAGGCAUGGAAGACGUUGGAUAGGUACAGGUCCUUCUUCCCAGAGAUGUUGGACAGGUCCGCCUUGGUCUUAUCCACAGCCUCUGUCAGACCCAGCUCCCCAAGGUGUUUCUGUGUGUGUGUGUGUGUGUGUGUGUGUGUGUGUGUGUGUGUGUGUGUGUGUGUGUGUGUGUGUGUGUGUGUGUGUGUGUGUGUGUGUGUGUGUGUGUGUGUGUGUGUGUGUGUGUGUGUGUGUGUGUGUGAGAGAGAGAGAGAGAGAGAGAGAGAGUUGUAAAGGAGUUCAGCCACCUAAGAGCAUCGGGGAUGUGUACUGUAUAGUUAGUGUAUACUAACAUGUUAUUCAAACUUGCAUCUCAUAAACAUUUAAUAAAUGUGGUUUUCACCAAUGACUUGUGCCAUGUCUAGGUUUUUCCAGUACCUGGAUGUUGUGGCUGACUUCCAUGCUGACUUUGGGCAGAGACACAGCCACAGCCGUCUCCUUCAGCUUGCCCAUCCAGUCAUCCAGCUGCUUGCAGGUCAGCAGCUUCUCCAGCCUCUCCAGGGACUCCACGUGGUAGGGCAUGAAGAACACCAGGCUGGAUUUUUUAUGGGCCAGGGGUAUGCUCAGGAUUAAAAGCUUAUUCACUGUAUCCUCGUGGAAACCAUAGAGACCUGCAGGUACAACCAGUAUGAGUACAGACUCAGAGACAUUUCUAGAGCUUUUCUUUACAUCUUCCUUCAAACUGAAAUUAAAACACCCCAGUUCAGUUUAAAUAUACUGUUUAAUAUUAUGUUGAGGGACAUGUUGUAAUUGAUUAACCUGUGCGGUGCAUCAUGGGUACACCAACAGUGUGAGAGCGGGACACCAGGAAGCCACGGUUGUCCACCAUCUUUUGGUGGAACUGUUCAUCCCAAUGGGCUGUUCAGAUUGAAAGUAAAAUACAAUUGACUGUAAAUUAGUAAAUAUGUGAAUGGAUGAAAAAACAAGGCAAAAGAGAGAAGAGUAUCUCCUAAGUGCUGGUGCUUUGUAAGAUCAAACUCACGUUUGAAGAACAUGGCGUUGAUGAUCAUGGCCCCAUCGGUCCUCUCCACAUCCUUGGUGACCUCGGGCAGCUUGCCGUCGGUGGACUUGGCCGCCCAAUCGUUGAUGGACUUCACAGCGCUCUUCUUGU